AAACCAGCACCUCAAGUGGUCAGGAUGAUUAUUGGGCCUAAAGCAUCCGUAGCCUGCUCUGUAAGUUUUCGGUUAAAUCCAUUAGCUCAACUAAUGGGCCGCCGAAAAUACUGCAGAACUAGGGAGUGGGAGAGGUAGACGGUACUCGGUAGGAAGGGGUAAAAUCCUUUGAUCUCUCGAUGACCACCUGUGGCGAAGGCGGUCUACCAGAACACGUCCGACGGUGAGGGAUGAAAGCUGGGGGAGCAAACCGGAUUAGAAACCCCAGUAGUCC
rnacentral:rRNA from 1 species